rnacentral:lncRNA from 1 species
GGAAAGCAUUAGGGGAGCCCACGGCUACAAAAACAAGUGAGUGAGAAGACGUGGGAGGAAGAGAAACUACGCCACCUCUCCUGCAGCUGAGCCGCGCGCAGCAGCAGCCCGGGGGAAGUGGGCGACGCCGGGGGGAAGGGAGACCGGGUCCCCAGCCCCAGCCGGGGGACCCCGCCGCCCACUGCCGAGAGAACAACUUUUAGCCGGCAGCCUCAGCCAGCACUGCACCUGUCUCCGAAGCCUCCAUCGUUUCUCGUGAUGGUCAAGGGGAAAUUCUAGAAGAAUAUGCUCUACAAAAUAUACAUGCGCAUCAUUUUCCCCCUUGCGUCUCACGCUGGAGGAAGGAAAGAGAAAGGGAUUUAAGCAGCAGCGUGUCUUCAGCCCCAAGCACCACCAAGCUGCCCUGGAAUGGAACUUCUGCUCAGUUCUUGGAUUGAGGGAUGGAGGAGGAGUUUACUUCAUUCAUUCUCAGGGACUCUUAACUGUUGCAAAAAUAUCUGCCUCUGAGAGCUCAGGAGGAUCUGCUUUGUGGGAGCAAAGGUAGUGAGUCAUACCUGGAAGCUUGCGCCUCUUCAUCCAGUCAAGUCUCCUAUGCAACAGUUUAUGCAGCACUUAAAAGAUGAGGAGUUAAGAGGAGAAAAUGGAAAAAAAAAACAACAGAAGUACUUUUAAUGGAACAGAAUAAACCACUGAACAGGUACCAGAAAUUAUUAGGAGUUGGGUACAACAUAAUUAAACGAGUUAAUAUUUGUGAAGUCCUUAGAAGGUUACCUGGCAUGUUUAAAUAACUGCAUACGUGUUUGCUAUUAUUAAGUUCCUUUAAAUGUACCUUAGCCCAGAACAAAUCAGUAGUACAGCCAAGAACUACCCAACAACAACAACAAAAAACCCUUUUCCCCUAAAGCAAGUGUGAACAUCAUUGGUAAAUGCUGUCAUGGUCUCUGUAUGACUUGUUAUAGUGGUCUGAGAAACUUAAUUUCUUAAUCUCUGAGCCCUCUGAGUGUUUGAAUACCCAUUCAUUUUUGGUUUUGAGCACUCAUUCAUGAUGACUUUUAAGUGUCAGAUCAGUUUCAAUUUUUUGGAAUAAAGCAAGCUUCCUUAAAAUUCUCCAAGAGCUUUUCAUGUGGGGAGGUGGCUUCAUUUUCAGGGAGGCGCCGAGGUAGCCUGUGGAUAGUUAGUAAAGACAGAGGUGACAGCAUGAAGAUCCGCACUCACAUUUUCUGAGGGCGCCAGUGAUUACCUGGAAUAAGACGUUUCAACCUGCUGCCCCUGCCCCCGCACUAACUUCCCAUCAUAAAACUGCCGGUGUUACUGAGGGCUACCGACACUUUCAACAAACACUGAUAAGGGGCAAAUUAUGUGCCAAGUAUUGUGCUUGGCCUUGAACGUGUCUCCUCUCUCCUCACCCACCCACCUCUCCGGAUCGGCACCAGCUCCUGCCGCCUUCACCGCGCUGUGGGGAGACCUGGCUCCCCCGGCAUCCGGAGGGAUGCUUUCCGUGCCACCGUCCGUCCGUCUGUCUCUCCGGCUCCUCCCCCUCCGCACCCGAGCACUGCUCAUUCAGGCGGGGGAGGCACGCUGGGAGGCAGGCCCUGUGGUUUGAUACUGCUUUAGACGGCCGUCUUCCCCCAGAUUGCUGUGUCACAGUGUACACAGUUCCUUUAAAUGCCCCGUUGUUUCAUGUUUUGCCGUGUUUCCCCUCUGCGAUCUGGGGAUAUGACCUUGGGAAGUUACUUUUCUGUUCGGAGGUGUUCCGGAAGUGUAACUUGAGAGAGGCGGGCGCUGGUGGUGGGCUCGGUGUGUCAGUGGUUCUCAAACCUUUUUCUUGGAACCCCCAGGAAGUGUCAUGUUAGGACCCCGUGCGCCCACUUCCACGUGUGGAUGUGUGGAUUCCCGACACACCUUUACCGUAUGAGGGCUGCGAUAGAGUUUUCUAGUCUGUCCGAUUUCCUAUCACGUUUUCUUUUCUCCCUCCUCUUUUCUUUGGAGCGCUCCUCAUAACCCACUAGUCAGCUGCGCUUCGGCAGCGCGAGGUAUUUUUGUGCGGUGGUGGGGCACCUGCUUUUUCUUGCCUUUCUCUCCAUUUUCUGUGGUAAUGUGCCUAAGUCUCUUUUAUCCAUAAAUGUGCUCCCCCCCCAACUUGCCAUAACUUAAUUCUUUAUGUGUGAAACUCUUUCCCUAACUUAGCUCCUGUUUUUGUUUUCUCAUGUACCAUUCACUGCUCAAUAUUACAGUGAUUCACAAUAUUUUAGUGACUUCUGUGGAAUGCUAGCAAAAUUCUUGUUGAUUUGAGGCCAUGUAUUUAUAAAGGAAUCAUAAUUACGUACACCUAGGAUUAUUCAGUAUGCUCAACAAAUUUUCGUGGUUGUAAUGUGCAAAUGGUUCUUGUAAUUAAAGAUAAACUAAUAUUCAGCUGUCUUUGAGGAAUAUUUCUAAGGUUUAUAGGCAAUAAAUGAGACAGCAAAUCCUAGUUUUCUGUAUUAAAAAUAUGUCAUUUGAGUAGUCUUAGAAAUUUCUAAAUAUUCUGUUAUUGAAGCCAAGGCAACGUUGUUCUCUUGGUUCUUUGAGUAAUUAAGCCUUCCCAUGUAGUUAUGAAUACAGCAUAUUUGCCAAAAACUUUUAGCCAAAUAUUAUACUAUAGUAUAACAUUAUAUUAUAAUACUUAACCACAUAUUAUAGAUUAAUACAUUUCUACAUUUUACAAUUAUUUUAAAUGUCACAUUAGACGAUUUGAGUUACUUUGUUUUGCAGAAUCUAAGGUUUGAAAAUAUUGAGAAAAGAGAAUAAAGCAGACUUUGACAGCUAGUAGAUGUUAAGGUGUAUUUAUCAAAAUCUUUUGAAAAAAUCAUUAUCUAGGAUUUCGUUUUGAUUUUUCUUUUUUUCCAUUUACUUUCUAAAGCAAUUUUAAAUGAAUCAUAAAGUAUUUUUUCCAGUAAAUAAAUAGAUCAUGUACAAUAAUAAAACUUUCUGAUGUUUUCUUCUUAGCCAUAAUUAAGGGACUAAACUAACUCCUUCCUGGACAUCUGUUCUUCAGAUAUAUUCUUCCUUCUUUUACUCACUAAUUACUUUGAAGAUUAAUUAAAUCAGUACAGUAGUCUGUAGCCAUGUGCAUUUGUACCAUUUGGGUUAGGAUGCAAUUAAUGUAUCAUCUCUGCCUGGAAGAGGACCAUGGAGGGUGCCAGUGAUGCAGUGGCACUUUUCUGGCAGUCAUACCAUCUUGAGGCAGUUGAAGGCCAGUCCUAGGAACAUGCUGGAGGGGCUGAACUGGUAGGUGAUCCAGAGCCCUCUACAAAUUGAGGAAAAACAAAAGGGAAUACUCAUAGAGCUAACGGUGGAAGGGCCUGUCUCGGAAAAACGGAAUAAGCAGCUCAUAUAUAAAUAAUCCACGAGGACAGAUCCUUCCAGCCUUUCCUAAAGCAGCUGCAGCUCCCUCAUCACGUUGCCACUGCCCCUAAGACUGUACAGCCUUGGUCUCUCUACCAUUACAGAUGGUUCUUUCUGUUUCUUUCCACUCUCUUCCUCUUGCCUUUUGAGGCACUUACUACUUGUUCUCAUACCUCUCUGAUGACCUCUUCCAAGCAACUUCAUAAGUGACCCUAAAAUUUUGGUCUGAACCCUGGGUCUUCCCCUUGUCCUAUUCCGUUCCUGGCUGGUGAACUCACAGCAUUAGCACAUCCUAGGCAGGGGCAGGGGCUUGGAAAGUAGUGAGAGAGAGCAUUCAAAUAAAUACUUUAAAACUACUUCAGUUGAAUCCCUACUUUUUGAAAAAAUCAAAAAACCAUGAAAAGCCUUUAACUAGAAAACCUUUUUUUGUUGUUGUUACUUGGAAGUAAUUCCAAGAGUGAAUUCAAGUCCAUUUUGUCCUUGUUUACUCCUAGUACACAGUACAUGCCUGGAAACCAGUAGAAAAACACCAGAAUGGGUAGGUUUACCCCGCAGCCUUGAGACUACACAGAGCUGGAGCUGAAUCCUUGCCCCCGGCCUGGCUCCCUUCCUGGGCCUUUUUCCUCCCCGCUCCUACUUCAGAAGGUAAAGCACGGAUCACAGGUCACGGGUGUACCAGCUUCAGAGAGUAGCAGGACUGAAAAGGGUUCAAAGGGACAAAUUAUGGCAGAAAUCUAAACAGUAUUUGGGAACAUAAGAUAGUGUGAGCUUAAUAACCCCAAACAAGAACAACAUGUGUUUUUAAAAGUAUUUCAUACUCGUCCAGUUUUUCUGGCCAUUUUCCUUUAUUCAUUUUCUGUGAAGGGAAACAAGUGAAACUAGAAACUACUGUUACUCCUUUUAUUCAAGCACCUAGAUCGAUCAUGAAAGGCGUGAGAAGUCACAUUGGGUCGCCAAGCUCUUCUUUUAAAAGCGUGAAUAAAAGGAAAAGAAGACAGUCAACAACAAGUUGUGAAGUAGUUGAUGUGCUGUGGGUUUUGAACUUCAGUGCUUAACAACACUUAAGCCAAAGUUUGUACGUUGUCAUGAAAUAAGGCAACUAAAAUGCUCGGCUUCUUCUGAGUGCUCUGGACGUGCAGCUGCUAUUGUUGCCAUGUAUAAAGGUGGCGCUCUCAGGAAAUUCUAGUCGUGUUCCUUCCAGGUCAGGAUGGAUUUGUUUUGAGCUAUUCUAUUUUGUGUGUGUGAUAAUUUGUGUGGCAGAGGGAACAGUGACGUUCGUGGCCUUUAUCGACUCUUUCCUAUGUGCUAAGCAUUGCAUGAAGCGUGUACAGGCAGAUGCUGCCAUCAUCCCAGUUUUACCGAACGUUCAUACUAAAAGAAGGUUCUAGUCAGUUCCCAGCAGAGAUCAUAGUCUCGCCAUAACCAAAUGCUAGUUGACUUUAAUAUGCAGCGAUAGGGAGUUCCUGUCGUGGCGCAGUGGUUAACAAAUCCGACUAGGAACCAUGAGCUUUCGAGUUCGAUCCCUGCCCUUGCUCAGUGGGUUAACGAUCCGGCGUUGCCGUGAGCUGUGGUGUAGGUUGCAGAAGCGGCUCGGAUCCCGCGUUGCUGUGGCUCUGGCGUAGGCCGGUGACUACAGCUCCGAUUCAACCCCUAGCCUGGGAACCUCCAUAUGCCGCAGGUGCGGCCCAAGAAAUCGCAAAAAGACAAAAAAAAAAAAAAAAAAAAAAAAAAAAAA